rnacentral:lncRNA from 1 species
AUGCUCAGAGAACAACAGCCUUUGGAUACUGCUUUCUAUACCAUGACCUGCGGAACUGACUCGAGCUCUGAUCUGCCUUGUGCUUUGGAUAUUUACUUCUUCUGUAACCAAAAGUACUCCAGGGACAACACCUCCAUUCAUGCACUCAGCAACUGCAUUAGGCCAUACCAGCCUGGCGCUUCGGUUGAGCCAGUCAACAUCACUGGUGUCAAGAGAGAGAUCACAAGCAGGCAGAGAGGCAGGCAGAGAGAGAGGAGGAAGCAGGCUCCCCGCUGAGCAGAGAGCCCGACGUGGGACUCGAUCCCAGCACCCUGAGAUCAUGACCUGAGCCGAAGGCAGCGGCUUAACCCACUGAGCCACCCAGGCGCCCUAAUUGAUAAAUAUUUUUAACGUUAAACUAUAUUCAACAACCCUGCUAACUUUAUUUACUAACUAAAUUGAUUUUCUAUAUAUUUAAAAAUUUUUAUAACCAUGUCAUAUGUGAAACAUGAUAAUUUUAUUGCUUUCUUUCCAAUGCUUAUACACUUAAUUUUUCUUAGAUUAUCGGAUAUAAUUUAUAGUACAGUGUUGAACAAGAGUAGCGGUAAUAAGCAACUUAGUUUCUGAUUACAGUUAGAAAAUAUUGUGAAGUGUGUAAACCUGGUGAUUCACAGACCUGUACCCCUGGGGAUAAAAAUAUAUGUUUAUAAAAAAUAAAAAAUAAUAAAAGAAAAUAUUGGAAAUAUCACAAUUAUAAAUAAUGUUUACUGUAGAAUUUUUAUUACACUUUAUUUUUUUCCAUUUUAUUUUCUUCUAUUUCUUUUCUGUGUUCCAGAAUUCAUUGUUUAUGUACCACACCUAGUUCCAUGCAAUAUUUGUUACCCUUUAUUAAUAAAGGAGUAUUCAGAUUAUUUCCUUUUAUGUCUACUUUAUAAUUUGUUAUUUUCUAGAAGGUUGUUCACUUCAUCUGUAUUUGUAAAUUAGCAAAAUUAUAUUUUUAUGAUCCAUUAGCAUGUAGGUUGCUGCAGUGGUAUUCUGGUAAAUGUUUAACAAGCAGAUCUCUGGGGGAAACAUGCAUUAUACAUGUACAUGAGUUUAUUAUAAACUUCAUUGAUAUACAGGGUCUGUAACAUAUGAUUUAAAAUAAUAAUAAACUACAUAAUACUCCUU